rnacentral:tRNA from 1 species
UAGCUAAGCUGGAUAAAGCACCGGUCUUCUAAGCCGUCGAUCGGGAGUUCGAAUCUCUA